GAACAGCGGAAAGCCCAGAUCAUUCCAAGGACGUUAAACUGUUUGAAUGGUCCGGACGGCUCCAUAAGCCCUACGAACAUUUGGCCGACCGGCUUAAAAGACCCAUUGAUUCGAGCAGUUGACACCCCAAAGAAUGCGUCCCAAGUAUAUCGGAUCCAUCAGGUCGAUUCGUGUUAGGAAGUUGUAUAAAUACCCCUAGGGGUGAAGUGUAAAAGGGGGGGAUUACUUGUAAUACAGUGAUUAUACUUGUGAUACAUUGUGAUUAUACUUGUGGAAUACUUGGAAUUAUACUAUAGUAGAUAAGAUCGACCUUCUUCCUAGAGGGUCACGAUCAGUGGUGAACCUGACGUGAACCGAACACGAACACGAGAAGAUGGAUGCAGAGCAACCGGAACGGGAAAUUCAAGUAGAGGGAAGUCUGGAAAACGGGGCGGUAGAAACAUAUGGGAAUCGACUGUCAACAGUUACUCGUGAAAGCCAAGGAGUGGGUGAACAGGUGCGUUUAGAAGAAAAUAUCGAAGAAGCACCUUAUCACCCCCAGCAGCGUACGCGCGAAAAUUCCCGAUUCUUUGAAGAGGCAAUACCGGAAGAUGGGAUGGAUGCAAGUUGGUCGGAGCAAAGCCGAUCAAGAUCACCAGAACAUAGAAAUGACCAAGGAUAUGGGAGAGCGUUUCCCAUAUUGCGGGAACCAAGAGAGAGUCAACUAAUGUCAAUUAUCGCGGAUUUGCAAAACAAUCAAAGGCAACUUCAGGAACAAAUCGUGUCAAUGGCAAAUAGAAGCAUACAUGAGAACGUUCCUAUACAACCAUCAAUUGGUUAUCUGGACCAAUUAACACCAGCGGACAACGAAGAAGCUUUAGCGCGACAUCUUUUAGUGGAAGGUUAUCCGACAGGGUGGAGAGCCCCAAAAAUGACAUCAUAUGAUGGUACAACGGAUCCUGAAGAUCAUGUUCACUCGUUCACCACUGAUCAAAUGUAAAUAAAGUUUGCCCUAAAGAUUCAUACCCACUCCCAUCAGUAGACCAUUUGGUCGACCAAGCUUCAGGAUGCAAAUUACUGAGUUUCAUGGAUGCACAUUCUGGUUAUAAUCAGAUACCCAUGGCUAGGGAAGAUGAAGAAAAGACAUCUUUUAUAUCAGAAACAGGUACCUUCUGUUUCAGGGUAAUGCCUUUCGGGUUACGUAAUGCAGGAGCAACGUUUCAGAGGGCCAUGGAUCAAAUAUUUAAAGAUCAGAUCGGGAGGAAUCUCGAAGUAUACGUAGAUGAUAUCCUAGUUUGUUCUAAAACAGUGGCAGAGCAUUUACCAGACCUGAGGGAGACUUUUGAUAACAUCAGAAGAGCAGGUCUAAGAUUGAAGGCAAAAAAAUGUUCUUUUGGGGUUACGGAAGGACAUUUUUUGGGCUUCAAAAUAACUCCCCACGGGAUAAAAGCCCGUACGGAAAAAAUAGAGGCGAUAAUGGCAAUGACACCACCAAAGACAAUAAAAGAAGUGCAGAAACUCAACGGAAAGGUAAAUGCAUUAAGCAGGUUCUUAGCAAGGGGGGCAGACACAUUACAACCUCUUUUCAAGUUAAUAAAAUCGGCUAGCCCGAAAAUAACAUGGACAGAAGAAUGCGAGGAAGCGUUUCAAAAACUUAAGGAGCAGUUAAAGAAUUUACCAACCUUACAGCCACCGUUCCCGGGGGAACCAUUAAAAUUAUACAUAGCCGCAUCCGACAAUGCCACUAGCACGGUACUAAUGACUGAAAGGGAUGGUACGCAACGGCCAAUUUAUUAUUACUCGCGCACAUUACAAGGAGCAGAGAAGAAGUAUCCACAAAUUGAGAAACUGGGGUUAGCAAUAGUAACAACGGCAAGGAGGUUAAAACCUUAUUUCCAAGCACACCCAAUAACCAUCCCAACAGAAUUUCCAUUGUUACAGUUGUUGCAUAAGCCAGAUGUAUCGGGCAGAUUGACAAAGUGGGCUGUGGAAUUAAGCGAAUUUUAUAUAAGUAUAGUACCAGCAAAAGCAAUCAAAGGACAAGCAGUCGCUGAUUUCUUGGCAGAAUUUACACCAAGUAGGGAGGAAGUUGAGAGUUGGUGGAUUAUUCAUGUUGAUGGAUCGGCAGGUAAUUCUGGAUGCGGAGCAGGAAUAAUAAUCCAGACACCUACGAAAGAAAAGAUAGAACACGCAAUUAACUUUAACUUCAAAACAACAAACAACGAAGCAGAGUAUGAAGCACUAAUAGCAGGAGCACAACUAGGAAAAGCGUUAGGAGCCAGAAGGGCAAAAUUUCAUACGGAUUCACGGUUAGUAGCAAAUCAAGUCAAUGGGGAAUUCAUGUCAAAUGAAGAAGGGAUGUGUCGAUACACAGAAGCAGCAUGUGACACAUUGCAACAUUUCGCAGAAUGGGAACUACAUCACAUAAGCCGCACGGAAAAUAAAGAGGCGGAUAUUUUAGCAAGAUUGGGCGCGUCCCCAGGUGUGCCAAAAGGGCGAUGGGUUCGAGUGGAACAGCAGGAAGUGCCAUCAAUAGCAAAAAGUGAAAGAAACAAAAUCCUGACAUUAGCAGUAAAGGAGGAUUGGAGAGUACCAAUAAAAAAUUACAUUACAAAAGGAAUAGUCCCGACGGACGCGAUGGAGGAGAGAAAGUUGAGAAAUAAAGCGGCCUGAUUUACAACAGUAGGAAACGAUCUUUUUCGUAGGGCAGUGGAGGACAGUAUUCCCCUACGGAUUUGUGUUACACAUGAAGAAGGAAAAGAAAUAUUAACAAGCGCACAUAAAGGAGCGUGCGGGCCACAUCAGGGGGCAAAAAUGUUGGAAAAACAGGUGGUGAGACAGGGCUACUAUUGGCCACAGAUAAGAAAAGAUGCUGAAGAACUAGUAAGAAGUUGCAACGAAUGCCAAAGGCAUGCAAACAUCCAGAGGAGGCCGUCCAGUAUAAUGAAUCCUGUGGUUACACCAGUACCAUUUGCUCGAUGGGGUUUAGACAUAGUCGGCCCAUUUCCGGUAGCAUCAAGAGGUCGGAAAUUCUUAUUCGUGGCGGUUGACUACUUCACUAAAUGGGCUGAGGCUGAACCAACAAGCGCAAUAUCGGAACAAAACGUCAUCCAGUUCAUUUUUAGAAACAUAAUCUGCAGGUUCGGGGUUCCAUUACAAAUAAUAACAGACAAUGGAACACAAUUUACUGGGAAAAAAGUAAAGAAAUUUUGUGAGGAUAGUGGUAUAAAGAUGAGCUUCGCCCCAGUAUAUCAUCCACAAGCUAACGGACAAGUCNNNNNNNNNNNNNNNNNNNNNNNNNNNNNNNNNNNNNNNNNNNNNNNNNNNNNNNNNNNNNNNNNNNNNNNNNNNNNNNNNNNNNNNNNNNNNNNNNNNNNNNNNNNNNNNNNNNNNNNNNNNNNNNNNNNNNNNNNNNNNNNNNNNNNNNNAUUGGACGCAGUGGCCCCGGCGGAAGUGGUGUGGCCAACAGCAAGGGUAACGAAUUUUAACCCAGAAGAUAACAACCUGGCCAUCUUACUAGCCAGAGAAAAGUGUGAAGAAUUAAGAGAAAUGGCAGCAAUAAGGGAUUUGACCUAUAAAAGGAAGGCGGCAAGAUACCAUAACCAAAGAGUGAAUGAGAAGAAGAUAAAUUCAGGAGACUUGGUAUUAAGAAACGGAAGAAUCACCGGACUGGACCAAACUAAAGGGAAGUUAUCUCCAAAAUGGGAGGGACCAUAUGUAGUCGUGGAGGAAGUCCGUCCGGGAAUAUACAGAUUAGCAUUUGAGGACGGUCAGAAAAUAGAGAGAACAUGGCACUCUGACAAUCUAUCUAAGUAUUUCCAGUAGAAGUGAUUGUAUGUAAGAACAAAAAAAAAAAAGAGUAACAAAUUAUUGUACAAAAAAACCACAACAAAGCCUUAGGGCAAUAAAAUCGUAAGGAAUAUUAAUUAAAAGAAGCAUCUUGGAACAAUUAUAAAUGUUUGCAGGGAAACAAAGACAGGAGAAUGAUAAGCAAAAGCACGGGAUAAAAAUUCAAGUUACAAAAAGGUACGUUUUAAUUGUUCUUUUCUCAAAAAUAAAAAACUUAAACUAUUGGUUCUCAUGACCCGACAACUCGGAGAGAGUCUUGGGCCAGGGCGGAUGCUCCGCAGGGAUCCCGGUCACUUGCCAUUGUUCCCACAUGGGUGGGUUAAUAGGAACGACGGUCGAUUCAUAUUCAGGACUACGGAGGUUCACCAUAUCCCGCCCGUGAACCAUGCCUUCAACAAAAUUCUUGAAACAAGCACGCUUAUUCCGCUCGGUCAAAUUCUUGACUUGUUCAGUAAAUUUCACCUUGGCUCGUUCAAUGUUUGCUUCCAUAGACGCAACCUGGGCGGCCUUCUCGUCCCUUUCAAUCUGAAGGAAUGUGGCUUGGGCGGCCUUCUCGUCCCUCUCAGUCCGAAGGAAUUGCUUUGCCGGUCUCACCUAAAAAUUCUUUACCAAUACCUUUGGUGGCUUGUUCACCAGCUUCGCUAGCAACAUCAGUCCCAAUCCCUACAAAUGGGUUGAAUAGCUUUCUCGUUUGCUCUUUGUUAUAAAUCUUUUUUCCGAGAUUAGGAGAUAGAACACUAGUGAAUAAAAUUGCCAAAGCGAAAAGAAUUACAUGAACUCGACUACCCAUUUUUAUAUAUUUGUGGUUUAAUUCUUAAACCUUCAAAGAUAGAUCUAUAUAUAGAUAGAGGAAAAAUAACAUUGUGGAAUGCAUUUAUGCAUUUUGAAGAAUUUUAAAUUCGAAACUUUUUUAUCGUUAAAUCUGACUUUUUUUUUUGAAAGCGAAAUCUGACUUAUCUCUUUGCUGGUUUAUAACAUCAUUAAUUAUCUCUUAUCUAGAUUUUGUUUAAUUAAUUUGAAAAAUGACAUUGUGGGAUGCAUAUAUGCAUUUUGAAGAAUUUUAAAUUUGAAACUUCUUGACCUUUAAAUCUAACUUAUCUCUUUGCUGGUAGAUUCUCUUGUCAUUUCAGUACUGUAAAUUAAUUUAAAACACACUUGAUUGUUGAUCAAAACUCGAUAGCGGAUUUUUAUGAUAUCAUUUUUUCAAAUCUUUUACUUUUCAUGAUGUUAGAUAGUGAUGGUAGUUCUAACUUUAGCUAUGAUUGUCGGAGAAAUAAAANNNNNNNNNNNNNNNNNNNNNNNNNNNNNNNNNNNNNNNNNNNNNNNNNNNNNNNNNNNNNNNNNNNNNNNNNNNNNNNNNNNNNNNNNNNNNNNNNNNNAAUGGGAUCCGAACGGACAGAUAGUAGGCGGGAAUACACAUAGUGCUCUUCCGGAGAAAGUUCCCUUACGGAAAGAUUCCCAGCUUCGAAGGAAGAGGUGUCUACCCACUUGGAAGGAACCUCAGACAACCCCACGGAAUGGCUUUUUACAAAAAAAUAGCGGCUCUUCCACCGAUGUGAGCGGUCAGGAUAAGAAACAAGAAGUUUAUGCCUUAUCUUAGAAGAAACUAAAAGCCGUGCGGAAUUGGGACGUGAGAUUGAAAAAAACAGACGGAAAACACGCUCGAAGGGCUUCAGAUCUAGUUCGUGACACAAAUGUUCGAACGAAAGGACGCGGUCUAAACUAGAAGGAGAAAGUUGGGAAAUAGCAACACCAGUAUACGAAAGAAAAGAUAAGAGAAAAGGGGAAGCAGGAAGCCGAAGCCCUAGAUCCUCAAAACCCGAAUAGAGGGCAGUAUAGCCAUCAGGAGGUGAAGAGGCAGAGGCAUCGUUUGGCACUUCCAGAUGAGCUAUCGCCACAGAAGGAGCGAUCACCUGGAAAUGACGACGAGCUUGCCGCCUACUAAGUAUGGAGGGAGGAUCCUCAGAGGAGUUUAGAAAGUUACCGUGGAAACCAGGGAUACCGUCUAGGAAUUGAUCGAGAUCGGCCAUGGGAGAGGCUGCGGCGACUAACGGAGGACAAACCCUACUGAAAAAGGAGAGAAGUGAGGAAGAAUGGAGAAAGAGACUAUAUAUAGAAGCUUUUUUGGCGGGAAAUUAAAUUUUUUCAUACCCGAAGGACGGAUAAACCGUACGGAAAGAUAGGCACAUUUUCUUAGAAACAUAAGCUCGGACAUCAAAAGGAGGGUCGAAGUUGCCGUACGGAGGAUACUUGGAAAGAAACGGAACUGGAUCGACCGAGUAGUAUAGAAGGCGAGAUCGGUUGUUUAAGGAGAGGGCAGAAGGACCGUAGGGAGGAUGCCUGAAGAAAGGUAACCACAACGAAAAAGAAGGGAAUUUCACCAGGAUAGCAACAUGACCUUAAAGAAAAAGCAAGAAUACCUGCCCGUGGGGAAAACAGUUGUAGAAAACGUGGUAAUCAAAGUGCCGAGGGAAGUUAAGAUCGUGGUAGAAAGUUGGAAGUUGCCAAAUGCCUAAUCAACAAGUAGUUACAUUCAAUAAGCACGAACAAAGAAGCCAUUCAUACGAAGAGAAAAUUUGCUAAAAAAGAAAAAUUACAUCAGUACGUAAGAGAGGCACAAAUGAGUUUGUAGAAGUCACAAGAACUGCAGGGAACAAAAGAAACAUUCAAAACAGCACAAAACACAAAUGAAAGAAACCCAUCAAGGUGGGCCUCGUGAUAAAAAGUAACGGAGAUCGCCUGGAGGAGGCCCUGAACGACCGGCACGUGGUCCACGUCCCCGACGACGGCGAGGAGCAGGGGCAAUGGAGCGUUCAGUCAACAAAUGCUCAGUAGACGCAGGCACAGGAGCCCCAGGGGAGGGGGGAGGAGCAGAGGCAACGCAAAAGACAGUAGCAGGGAUAGCAGGACCGAACGGAGUAGCAGACCGACGGUUGCGGGAAACAGUUGCCGCAGUUGGAACAACAACACCGGUACCAUUGCUGACUUGCUGAAGAGCGCGAACGCGAUGCGAGACUUCUGAGACCAGUUGGGACAAACGAGAAUUACUCACAGCAAAAUCUUCAAUAUCACAGAGGUGUUGAAGAAGAUCAUCUGGCCAAAUACCUUGCUGACGUGCCAACUCGUAGCCCAGCUCCUGCAACAAAUCAUCAAGAGAAGACAUGAUAAAAGGAGGAGAAAAUGAACCAAAUAAAGAAAAGUAGCCUAUUUAUAGGAAGAGGGGGGGAGUACUGAUGGUACCCCCAAGUUACCAGCCCAGGCCCACGAAGAAGCCCCGGUCCAGUAAGACGAACAGCGGAAAGCCCAGAUCAUUCCAAGGACGUUAAACUGUUUGAAUGGUCCGGACGGCUCCAUAAGCCCUACGAACAUUUGGCCGACCGGCUUAAAAGACCCAUUGAUUCGAGCAGUUGACACCCCAAAGAAGGCGUCCCAAGUAUAUCGGAUCCAUCAGGUCGAUUCGUGUUAGGAAGUUGUAUAAAUACCCCUAGGGGUGAAGUGUAAAAGGGGGGGGAUUACUUGUAAUACAGUGAUUAUACUUGUGAUACAUUGUGAUUAUACUUGUGGAAUACUUGGAAUUAUACUAUAGUAGAUAAGAUCGACCUUCUUCCU
rnacentral:lncRNA from 1 species